CAGUUUGGAUAUAUUGCUGUGACAACAUCUGCUGGAAUCAUGGCCCACGAAGAAGAAGCUCGUAGAAGAAGUGUGAGCAUCUUGCUUUUCUCGUCUUCUUCAUCCAUGGACCACAAGAAGGAGUCAUCAUUCGAUGGGCAGUAAUCCCAUAUGGGGGAGACCACCGUUUGCCAUGCUCGACAGCAGCAGCAGCAGCAGGGAUCAUCAAAUCCUUUAUUUCCACACCGCCCGUGUCGUAAAAACUCGUCUCCUUUGCCGGAGUAAAAUCCUCCGUAGUAGGGCUAUUGGAUAUCGAUGAGGAUGAUGAAGAGUUAUCCGAAGAUGAUAUCGGAGAAAUGGAUUUCUUCUGCUUCUUGCUCUGUUGAGCCUUCUUCCUCAUGUGGGUCCGCCAGUAGUUCUUGAUCUCGUUAUCGGUCCGACCAGGACAAUAUGCCUAUACAACAUAUGUGCCCCCAAAAGCCGCCCCACUAUAAAGUAAGUGCUGCUUUUUUUUUCCCUUUCCUUCUUUUGGCUUUAAUUAUUUGAAUAUAAGGCCAUCUCCAACAGUUGUUUAAAAACUGAUUGUUUAUAUCUAUAAUUUAAGAGACGAACAGUGUUAUACACUAUCACUUUUAACC